rnacentral:rRNA from 1 species
GACGUAGGGCGCGAGCGUUGUCCGGAUUUAUUGGGCGUAAAGAGCUCGUAGGCGGCUUGUCGCGUCGAAUGUGAAAUCUCAGGGCUCAACUCUGACAUUGCAUUCGAUACGGGCAGGCUAGAGUUCGGUAGGGGAGACUGGAAUUCCUGGUGUAGCGGUGAAAUGCGCAGAUAUCAGGAGGAACACCGAUGGCGAAGGCAGGUCUCUGGGCCACUACUGACGCUGAGAAGCGAAAGCAUGGGGAGCGAACAGG